GACAGAGGGUGCAAACGUUGUUCGGAAUUACCGGGCGUAAAGCGCGUGUAGGCUGCCCUGCAAGUCGGAUGUGAAAGCCCUGGGCUCAACCUAGGAAGUGCACUCGAAACUGCAGGGCUGGAGUCCUGGAGAGGAAGGCGGAAUUCUCGGUGUAGAGGUGAAAUUCGUAGAUAUCGAGAGGAACACCGGUGGCGAAGGCGGCCUUCUGGACAGUGACUGACGCUGAGACGCGAAAGCGUGGGGAGCAAACAGG
rnacentral:rRNA from 1 species